rnacentral:rRNA from 1 species
AUACGGAGGAUCCGAGCGUUAUCCGGAUUUAUUGGGUUUAAAGGGAGCGUAGGUGGACAGUUAAGUCAGUUGUGAAAGUUUGCGGCUCAACCGUAAAAUUGCAGUUGAUACUGGCUGUCUUGAGUACAGUAGAGGUGGGCGGAAUUCGUGGGGUAGCGGUGUAAUGCUUAGAUAUCACGAAGAACUCCGAUUGCGAAGGCAGCUCACUGGACUGCAACUGACGCUGAUGCUCGAAAGUGUGGGUAUCAAACAGGAUUAGAUACCCUGGUAGUCCACACAGUAAACGAUGAAUACUCGCUGUUUGCGAUAUACAGUAAGCGGCCAAGCGAAAGCAUUAAGUAUUCCACCUGGGGAGUACGCCGGCAACGGUGAAACUUAAAUGAAUUGGCGGGG